rnacentral:misc_RNA from 1 species
GAUGAAGAACGCAGUGAAAUGCGAUAAGUAAUGUGAAUUGCAGAAUUCAGUGAAUCAUCGAAUCUUUGAACGCACAUUGCGCCCCCCAGUAUUCUGGCGGGCAUGCCUGUUCGAGCGUCAUUUCAACCAUCAAGCCCUGCUUGUGUUGGGGUCCUGCGGCUGCCCGCAGGCCCUGAAAACCAGUGGCGGGCUCGCUAGUCACACCGAGCGCAGUAGCACAUCUCGCUCAGGGCGUGCGGCGGGCUCCAGCCGUUAAAGCACCCACCUUUCGCAAGGUUGACCUCGGAUCAGGUAGGAAUACCCGCUGAACUUAAGCAUAUCAAUAAGCGGAGCA